AGAAUUUAGAGAGAGAGAAAGGGCCAUAGCGGCCCACGAAAGACAAACCAGGAUAGAGAGGUAAGUUGAUCGUUAUUAAAUAGCGUAACUUUAGAUUUUUCUCUCUUGAAAGCAUCCUUUGUGUUUCUAGCAUCGGGUGAGACUUUGGAAGUCUUUGUAAAUAAAGUGUGAUAGAUGACUUCGUAUAUAUAAGAUCAGUGGAUAAGGUUAUUGUUACACUUAAAAACUGCCCUUUGGCUCAUUGUUCGCUUGCCAAAGUUCGAUAACGAAAACACUAUCGUCAAUAGUUUCGAGCUGUUUACAACAUAAAGAAAAAUGCCCAACAAAUAAUUUCUAAUAGGCUCUAACAAUACCGCCUAGUUUAAUUUUCAUUAUAUUCUCGUCCGUUCUCCGAAGAAUUACCUAACCAUUCUAACUACUAUUUAAUCGCAAUUAGUCAAAAAUUCGAUAAAAAUCUGAAAAAUGACAGGAUUUAGUGUCGAAAUCUUUCAAAUAUUCCGAAUAUCGCGAGGAUAUUCAACUAACAAACAUCGGAUUUUCCAGUGGAUUGAUAUGUUUAAUUAUAUUGGCUAAAAUAAAUCCAUUUAUCGACAUAAAGCCGCUGUUAACAGCUAAAUGCUCGAAAGUUCCGAAAGCUCAAAGGUGGAUCUUCAUCCAGAUUAUCUAAUUGUGAAAUUUAGGCGAAAUUCUUCCAUCCGUAACAUAAAUUCACUCUUGGUUCGUCAUGGUGACGUAACUUUAUGCUCUUGUACAUUAUCGGGUCAGAGAUUUGUGUAUAGAUUCGCCCUUCCUUAUUUCAGCAUGUUUCUAAAUUAUAUUUGAUGGCGUUGCGAAACUGUUUGAAUACAGAUAAUUCUGUAAUCUUUCUCCGUUAUCUCGGUCCGAAGUGCGAGUGUCGGACAUCUGGAAGGUUACCACUCUAUUUUCAAGUGGUGAGUCAUUGCCGCUCUAGAUGGACGCUUAAUUACCAUAAGUAGCAUUAAACUUGAUAAAUGAACUUUACUCCCGUCGUAAAUCACAGGUUGUCGACCUUAUAUAGAUUUUUUUGCUGUUUUUUUUUUCAUUUCGAUGGUAGACAUGAGCGUUUAGAAAUUGGAAAGCGAAAAGUCGAAAACAUCAAUCAAGAAAAGGGCAUCCUGCUAGGCGACAUUACAGUGUCAUUGGUUAGCUCAGCACGACCUGCCACUGUCCUCCAAGAAAUUCUAUUUCGAUAAAUAAAGGAAGGCUUUUGUUUGGAAGAAGCGCUGUUUUUCCUCUUCAAUGCCAACUCGUUAAAGCAAACAGACACCCGAAACACACUUGGACAAUGCUUCGUUAGGGGAUCUUGUCAUAGGCACAAUGGACAGUCGACCAGAGCAAAGACAGGAACAGAUACCAAAUAGUUUACCAGUUUGGCAAAAGAUGAAAAGAUGGAGAUGUGGUCUUUUAAUUAGGCAAAAUCCGAAAUGAAUAAAAAUUAGCGCAGGAAAAAAAAAUUCUAAGAAUCCUAUAACUAAAAACAAUAGUAACACGGAACACCGUACUAAAAUGCCCCAUCACUGCAAUAAGAAAACUGCGAAAGAACCUAUAAACAGGUGAUGAAAACAUGAAUAAAAAACGCGACGAAGCAAAAAAAACUAAACAAUGCAAUAAGCAUAGCGGCGUAGAAGAUUCACACAACUGCCAACCAAUUAUCCGUUCUUCUGAGAAAGGUCAUUUCGCCAUCGAGUUGAUAAAGACAUCCUCCCGUUUGCCAAGAGCUACACACAACACACACACACAUACCAUUUUUUCCUUCUGUCGUAACUGGUUAUUCAGUAGUUAUUUUUAAGAGAUCGAAACUCGUUUUAAUGAUUUUAAUAGUCGCAACACUCACUGUACUGUCCCGGUUGUCCACUGGUUAAAAGAAUUUUUCCCGGUUGAAAACCGGUUGUAACGCCGUGUUUCUGUUUCCCCCGUGUUUCUAACCUCUGAACCUCUCUCUCCCCCUCAUUCUCCUCUUCCAGCAGCAUUCGAGAUAAAUAAGAAUCAUUAAAAUUAAACGGCGAUAUUUCGUGACAUUGAUAACGAGAAUUGUUUAAGAUAUUAAGUGACUCAGCAGGAAGGAAAGAAAAAAAAAAAAAAA
rnacentral:lncRNA from 1 species